rnacentral:tRNA from 1 species
GGUGGCUCAGUGGUAGAGUGCUUGCCUUGCAUGCAUGAGUUCAAUUCCUGGGUUCGAUUCCUCAGCACCA